CAAAUAUUUGUGUCAGUAGUGAACACCAAGUCAAGAAAACAAUUGUUUUGGUUUGGCAAAUUGCAAACUUGCAACAGUCCAACAGAAAGUAAACUGUCAACAACAGCUAUCUCGGUUUGCGAGUUGAUUCGGUUUGGUUCAAAUCACCGAGUACGACGACGUCAUCAUUUGGGCCAAUAGAUUCAAUUACUGAUUCGACGAACGAGCAGAAAGAGCGAUAACGAUCAACACUAAAGCCACUGCGUGUUCUGUGCUGGCAACGUGACUGUGGACAGCAAUCAAGACCCCACCGCCGGAUUUGUUUUUCACUAUUAGAAAUAUUUCUAUCACAGCGAUAUACGUUAAAGUGCGGAGGAAAAAGCGAC